rnacentral:rRNA from 1 species
CCUACGGGUGGCAGCAGUGGGGAAUAUUGCACAAUGGGGGAAACCCUGAUGCAGCGACGCCGCGUGAGUGAAGAAGGAUUUCGUUAUGUAAAGCUGUAUUAGCAGGGAAGUAAAUGACGGUACCUGAGUAAGAAGCUCAGGCUAACUACGUGCCAGCAGCCGCGGUAAUACGUAGGGGGCAAGCGUUAUCCGGAGUUACUGGGUGUAAAGGGAGCGUAGACGGGUGUGCAAGUCUGGAGUGAAAGGCGGGGGCUCAACCCCCGGACUGCUCUGGAUACUGUACGGCUGGAGUGCAGGUGCGGUAAGUGGAAUUCCUAGUGUAGCGGUGAAAUGCGUAGAUAUUAGGAAGAACACCAGUUGCGAAGGCGGCUUACUGAACUGUAACUGACGUUGAGGCUCGAAAGCGUGGGUAGCAAACAGGAUUAGAUACCCGAGUAGUC